UUGCUUGCUUCGGCAGCACAUAUACUAAAAUUGGAAUGAUAUAUAGAAGAUUAGCAUGGCCCCUGCACAAGAAUGACACGCAAAUUUGUAAAGCAGUCCAUAGUUUU
ensembl:snRNA U6 U6 spliceosomal RNA